GUGGAUGAUGUGGUUUAAUUCGAUGCAACGCGAAAAACCUUACCCACCUUUGACAUGUACGGAAGUUACCAGAGAUGGUUUCGUGCUCGAAAGAGAACCGUAACACAGGUGCUGCAUGGCUGUCGUCAGCUCGUGUCGUGAGAUGUUGGGUUAAGUCCCGCAACGAGCGCAACCCUUGUCAUUAGUUGCUACGAAAGGGCACUCUAAUGAGACUGCCGGUGACAAACCGGAGGAAGGUGGGGAUGACGUCAAGUCCUCAUGGCCCUUAUAGGUGGGGCUACACACGUCAUACAAUGGCUGGUACAGAGGGUUGCCAACCCGCGAGGGGGAGCUAAUCCCAUAAAACCAGUCGUAGUCCGGAUCGCAGUCUGCAACUCGACUGCGUGAAGUCGGAAUCGCUAGUAAUCGCGGAUCAGAAUGUCGCGGUGAAUACGUUCCCGGGUCUUGUACACACCGCCCGUCACA
rnacentral:rRNA from 1 species